CCUCCUUUUCUCAUCAUUAGUGAAUCUUCCACAAUGGACGAAAGUCUGAUGGAGCAACGCCGCGUGAGUGAAGAAGGGUUUCGGCUCGUAAAGCUCUGUUGGUAGUGAAGAAAGAUAGAGGUAGUAACUGGCCUUUAUUUGACGGUAAUUACUUAGAAAGUCACGGCUAACUACGUGCCAGCAGCCGCGGUAAUACGUAGGUGGCAAGCGUUGUCCGGAUUUAUUGGGCGUAAAGCGAGUGCAGGCGGGUCCAUAA
rnacentral:rRNA from 1 species